rnacentral:rRNA from 1 species
AGCGAACGUUUGCGGCGGGCCUAACACAUGCAAGUCGAACGCACUAGCAAUAGUGAGUGGCGCACGGGUGCGUAACACGUGGGUAAUCAACCCUUCAGCUUGGGAUAACGACUUGAAAGGGUCGCUAAUACCGGAUACGGCGCGGGAGGCUUCGGCUUCUCACGAGAAAGCCUCGCAAGGGGCACUGAAGGACGAGCCUGCGGCCCAUCAGCUAGUUGGUGAGGUAAGAGCUCACCAAGGCGAAGACGGGUAGCUGGUCUGAGAGGAUGAUCAGCCACACUGGAACUGAGACACGGUCCAGACUCCUACGGGAGGCAGCAGUGGGGAAUAUUGCGCAAUGGGCGAAAGCCUGACGCAGCCACGCCGCGUGAGCGAUGAAGGCCUCGGGUCGUAAAGCUCUGUGGGGAGGAGACGAAGAAAGACCCGUGAGAGCCGGCCGUUGACGGUAAGUCUCCUUAGCAAGCACCGGCUAACUCCGUGCC